CCAAAGUGCAAAUUUGGAAUAGGACCCAGAAAGGGUCCCGGGGCUUCUCCCGUUU
rnacentral:tRNA from 1 species